ACCCGGUCCCAUCCCGAACCCGGCAGUUAAGCCCACCAGCGUCGAUGGUAGUGCGGGGGCAACCCCGUGCGAGAGUAGACCGCUGCCAACU
rnacentral:rRNA from 1 species